rnacentral:tRNA from 1 species
ACCUGGGUGGCUCAGUCAGUUGAGCAUCUGACCUUUGAUUUGGCUCAGAUCAUUUUCCAGGGUCAUGGGAUCGAACCCCAUCUUGGGCU